CUGGGUUCAAUCCCCAGUUUUUUUUUAAAAGGAAUGAGACAGAGAAGAUUGGCAAGGCCCCUGCACAAGGAUGGCAUGAAAAUUCAUAGAGCCUUUCAUAAUUUUA